GAAUAGCUAUGAUCAUGUUGCCAAAAUGAUAUAUCAUGAAUGCUUGAAUAUCAUGUUUAAUAUGCUCAUAAUGAUUAUUUGGUAUCGUGCAUAAAAAAAAAAAAAUGAAACGUAAUGUUAAUGAAUUUGUGCAUUGAAACUAUAAUGAUGCACAAAGAAGAAUGAUUACUUACCUUUGUCAUGAUUUAAAAAUUGAUGUAAAGGG
rnacentral:lncRNA from 1 species